GUCCACUACCACGGCCACCACGAGACUCCCGCCCUUAACGUCAUUCAAAAAUUCCUAAGCGAUGCUUAUGCAACGUUUCAUAAGAUUGAUAAUAAUUCUGAAUUUUGUUUUUCCAUGAUUUGAUAUCAAUGUCACAAUUUGUUUUUUCCUAAUGUACUCUACCAUUUUACUUGGGUUGUUCAAAAUUUUUUAAUGGUCACAUCCUUGGUAAUAGGGUUACCUCACUGGAGAUAAGGGUUUCAUACGGUAGUUGUCUCCAAUCACACUCUCAUUUAGGGUUCUAUGGUCAAAUUUCAAAUUUUUUCUUUUUACUAGAUUAAAAAUUCUAUGACUGAGAGUCUGUCAAACUGCAACUUUAUAGCCUCCUACGUGCUUUGUUUCACCUGUUGAUUAUUCAAGAGUUUCAAUGUGUUUGCAAUUUUCAAAAUUAACCUCCGUUUAGUAACACAAUUUUUUCUUCUCCAAAAUGUGAUUAUUAGUAAACCUCAUUUUGAAAACGGCUAGUCUUACCAUUUCUAUUGAUAAUGUCUUGUUUUAUUAUAUGUAAUGAAUUGUAGUGGAUGAUGAUAAUCAAACCCAUCAAUAUAUUGGAAUACCUUGUAUUAUAAGAGUACACUUUCGUAUUGCUGUUUACCCAAAUAACUUCGCAGGUUUGUUCUUGACUCGUCAGCAAAGACUACCCUUCAAAUUUAUUGAGAAUUUCCAAUAAUAUCCUCCCAUAAAAUGUGGUUCUUCAGCACAUUCUGAACCAUCUAAAUCAAUAGUGGCGAUAACUGGAAAAUGAUCUGAUAUAUCAUUUUCAACAACAAAGGAUUUGGUGUCAUUAUAAUGAGAUGUUUUGUAAAAGAUAUGAUCUAAGCAAGUUUUUGAUGUUUUUUGUACCCUAGUGUAAGUGUUAAUCAGUGACGUGAAUCCAUGUUCACUCAAAAUGUCUAAAUAGUUAUUUCAAUGAUCUUCAUCUGAUUAAAUAUCAAUGUUGAUGUCUCCAACAAUAAAUUGUAUAUUCCCCCCAUCA